rnacentral:rRNA from 1 species
UAAGCGGAGGAAAAGAACUAACAAGGAUUCCCCUAGUAGCGGCGAGCGAACCGGGAGAAGCCCAGCUUGAAAAUCGCGCUGUCAUUUAGGCGGCGCGAGUUGUAGUCUGGAGAAGUGUCCUCUGCGGCGGACCUGGCCUAAGUCCCCUGGAAAGGGGCGUCAGAGAGGGUGAGAACCCCGUCGGGCCAGGACCCUGCCGCUCCACGAGGCACUGUCAACGAGUCGGGCUGUUUGGGAAUGCAGCCCUAAGUGGGAGGUAAAUUCCUUCCAAGGCUAAAUACUGGCGGGAGACCGAUAGCAAACAAGUACCGCGAGGGAAAGAUGAAAAGGACUUUGAAAAGAGAGUUAAAGAGUGCUUGAAAUUGCUGGGAGGGAAGCGAAUGGAGCCUGGUGUGCGCCCCGGUCGGAUGCGGAACGGCGUAAGCUGGUCCGCCGCUCGACGCGGGGUGCUGGUCAGCGUGGGCUUCUUUGGCGGGAUAAACGUUGGCGCUGCAAGCUUUAACCGGUUUGCGGCGCCAGCCGAUGCCGUCGGGGAGGCUGAGGAAUGAACCCCUCAUGAAGUGCGCGUUCUUCUUUCGGGAGGGGCGGGGCAUUCUUCUUUCGGGAGGAGUGCCACCUGCGUACUCGGGACGCUGGCGUUGUGGGCUUUUCAUCCGACCCGUCUUGAAACACGGACCAAGGAGUCUAACAUGCAUGCGAGCCGGUGGGCGGCAAACCCACAUGAGGCGCAAAUAACUUGACUGGUGUGAUCCUUUCCCUCUUUCGGGAGGGCGAGGUGCAACAUCGACCGACCAUGAUCUUCUGUGAAAGGUUCGAGUAAGAGCAUGCCUGUUGGGACCCGAAAGAUGGUGAACUAUGCCUGAGCAGGGCGAAGCCAGAGGAAACUCUGGUGGAGGCUCGUAGCGAUACUGACGUGCAAAUCGUUCGUCAGACUUGGGUAUAGGGGCGAAAGACUAAUCGAACCAUCUAGUAGCUGGUUCCCUCCGAAGUUUCCCUCAGGAUAGCCGGAGCAUGAGGAGUUUCAUC